CAUUAAAAAUAAUCAAAUAAUUAGAGAGGGCGUUACAAUUUUUAUGGUGAUGCUCGUGGUGGGUGGUGGUGGACUUUUGUGAUGGUUAAUGGUGAUUUUUGUGGUGGUUAAUGG
rnacentral:pre_miRNA from 1 species